rnacentral:misc_RNA from 1 species
AAAAUGCGAUAAGUAAUGUGAAUUGCAGAAUUCAGUGAAUCAUCGAAUCUUUGAACGCAGAUUGCGCCCGCCAGUAUUCUGGCGGGCAUGCCUGUCUGAGCGUCAUUUCAACCCUCGGGACCCCGUUCGCGGGACCCGGCGUUGGGGAUCAGCCCGAAGCCCCCCCGGGGCGGGCGGCUGGCCCCGAAAUCUAGUGGCGGUCCCCCCAGCGACCUCCUCUGCGCAGUAGUAACUCACCUCGCAGCUGGACAGCGGGAGGGCCACGCCGUAAAACCCCCAACUUCUCAAAGGUUGACCUCAGAUCAGGUAGGAAUACCCGCUGAACUUAAGC